rnacentral:rRNA from 1 species
UACAUGCAAGUCGAGCGAACGGACGAGAAGCUUGCUUCUCUGAUGUUAGCGGCGGACGGGUGAGUAACACGUGGAUAACCUACCUAUAAGACUGGGAUAACUUCGGGAAACCGGAGCUAAUACCGGAUAAUAUUUUGAACCGCAUGGUUCAAAAGUGAAAGACGGUCUUGCUGUCACUUAUAGAUGGAUCCGCGCUGCAUUAGCUAGUUGGUAAGGUAACGGCUUACCAAGGCAACGAUGCAUAGCCGACCUGAGAGGGUGAUCGGCCACACUGGAACUGAGACACGGUCCAGACUCCUACGGGAGGCAGCAGUAGGGAAUCUUCCGCAAUGGGCGAAAGCCUGACGGAGCAACGCCGCGUGAGUGAUGAAGGUCUUCGGAUCGUAAAACUCUGUUAUUAGGGAAGAACAUAUGUGUAAGUAACUGUGCACAUCUUGACGGUACCUAAUCAGAAAGCCACGGCUAACUACGUGCCAGCAGCCGCGGUAAUACGUAGGUGGCAAGCGUUAUCCGGAAUUAUUGGGCGUAAAGCGCGCGUAGGCGGUUUUUUAAGUCUGAUGUGAAAGCCCACGGCUCAACCGUGGAGGGUCAUUGGAAACUGGAAAACUUGAGUGCAGAAGAGGAAAGUGGAAUUCCAUGUGUAGCGGUGAAAUGCGCAGAGAUAUGGAGGAACACCAGUGGCGAAGGCGACUUUCUGGUCUGUAACUGACGCUGAUGUGCGAAAGCGUGGGGAUCAAACAGGAUUAGAUACCCUGGUAGUCCACGCCGUAAACGAUGAGUGCUAAGUGUUAGGGGGUUUCCGCCCCUUAGUGCUGCAGCUAACGCAUUAAGCACUCCGCCUGGGGAGUACGACCGCAAGGUUGAAACUCAAAGGAAUUGACGGGGACCCGCACAAGCGGUGGAGCAUGUGGUUUAAUUCGAAGCAACGCGAAGAACCUUACCAAAUCUUGACAUCCUUUGACAACUCUAGAGAUAGAGCUUUCCCCUUCGGGGGACAAAGUGACAGGUGGUGCAUGGUUGUCGUCAGCUCGUGUCGUGAGAUGUUGGGUUAAGUCCCGCAACGAGCGCAACCCUUAAGCUUAGUUGCCAUCAUUAAGUUGGGCACUCUAAGUUGACUGCCGGUGACAAACCGGAGGAAGGUGGGGAUGACGUCAAAUCAUCAUGCCCCUUAUGAUUUGGGCUACACACGUGCUACAAUGGACAAUACAAAGGGCAGCGAAACCGCGAGGUCAAGCAAAUCCCAUAAAGUUGUUCUCAGUUCGGAUUGUAGUCUGCAACUCGACUACAUGAAGCUGGAAUCGCUAGUAAUCGUAGAUCAGCAUGCUACGGUGAAUACGUUCCCGGGUCUUGUACACACCGCCCGUCACACCACGAGAGUUUGUAACACCCGAAGCCGGUGGAGUAACCUU